AUUGAACGCUGGCGGAAUGCUUUACACAUGCAAGUCGAACGGCAGCACGGGAGCUUGCUCCUGGUGGCGAGUGGCGAACGGGUGAGUAACAUAUCGGAACGUACCCCGUCGUGGGGGAUAACUCUCCGAAAGGAGUGCUAAUACUGCAUACGACCUGAGGGUGAAAGCGGGGGACCUGCAAGGGCCUCGCGCGAUGGGAGCGGCCGAUAUCGGAUUAGCUAGUUGGUGAGGUAAAGGCUCACCAAGGCGACGAUCCGUAGCGGGUCUGAGAGGACGACCCGCCACACUGGAACUGAGACACGGUCCAGACUCCUACGGGAGGCAGCAGUGGGGAAUUUUGGACAAUGGGGGAAACCCUGAUCCAGCCAUUCCGCGUGAGUGAAGAAGGCCUUCGGGUUGUAAAGCUCUUUCAGCAGGAACGAAACGGCAGGCUUUAAUACAGCCUGCUAAUGACGGUACCUGCAGAAGAAGCACCGGCUAACUACGUG
rnacentral:rRNA from 1 species